UACGGGGGGGGCAAGCGUUGUUCGGAAUUACUGGGCGUAAAGGGCUCGUAGGUGGCCAACUAAGUCAGACGUGAAAUCCCUCAGCUUAACUGGGGAACUGCGUCUGAUACUGGAUGGCUUGAGUUUGGGAGAGGGAUGCGGAAUUCCAGGUGUAGCGGUGAAAUGCGUAGAUAUCUGGAGGAACACCGGUGGCGAAGGCGGCAUCCUGGACCGAGAUUGACGCUGAACAGCGAAAGCUAGGGGAGCAAACGGG
rnacentral:rRNA from 1 species